UCGGGGAAUGGGGGUGCACACCUGUAGACCCAGCUAUUCUGGAGGCUGAAGCAGGAGGAUCGCUUGAUGCUGAUCAGGUGACCACACUAAGAUCGGCAUCACUGUGGUGACCUCCUGGGAGCCAGGGACCGCCAGGUUCCCUAAGUGGGGUGAACAGGCCUUGGGUCAGAAACGGAACAGGUCAAAACUCCCAAGUCCAUCAAUAAAGGGAUCGUGCCUGUGAGUAGCUGCUGUACCCCAGCCU
ensembl:misc_RNA Metazoa_SRP Metazoan signal recognition particle RNA